UGAAUCUUAACAAUAAAAGAGAAAAAAAUCAAGAAGGACCAUGAAUUUGCAAAUGUAUUUCAUCUGGCUUCUCUUUUCCCUGCUGGAAGCAUCCAGUGGGCAGAUUGUGAUCACUCAGACACCUGCUUCUGUGACAGUGCUUCCAGGAGAGACGGUCACCAUCCAGUGCAAGGCGUCCAGUUCUGUUAGCUAUGAAAUGAACUUUUAUCAGUUCAAAAGAGGAGAGGUUCCCAAGCCCAUCAUUUAUGAUGGCUCUAAACGUUUCACUGGGGUCCCAGAUCGAUUCAGUGGCAGUUACAGCGGCACUGACUUCACAUUCACCAUUAGGAAUGUGCAGGCUGAGGAUGCAGCAGAAUAUUACUGUGGGCAAGAUAACAGCCGUCCUCUCACAGUGAUACAGUUCAGUACAAAAACCUCUGCCAUGCCACUGCAUGCACCACUUAGUGUAAAGCGGAAGGAAGCAGCUGUAUAUUUAUCAGGCUGGCUGGAGAAAAACCACCAGCGAGUCUAA